UACGAAGGGGGCUAGCGUUGUUCGGAUUUACUGGGCGUAAAGCGCACGUAGGCGGGUCGUUAAGUCGGGGGUGAAAUCCUGGAGCUCAACUCCAGAACUGCCUUCGAUACUGGCGACCUAGAGUCCGGAAGAGGUGAGUGGAACUCCUAGUGUAGAGGUGGAAUUCGUAGAUAUUAGGAAGAACACCAGUGGCGAAGACGGCUCACUGGUCCAUUACUGACGCUGAGGUGCGAAAGCGUGGGGAGCAAACAGG
rnacentral:rRNA from 1 species